rnacentral:rRNA from 1 species
CAUGCAGUCGAGCGGUAACAUUUCUAGCUUGCUAGAAGAUGACGAGCGGCGGACGGGUGAGUAAUGCUUGGGAAUAUGCCUUAGGGUGGGGGACAACAGUUGGAAACGACUGCUAAUACCGCAUAACGUCUACGGACCAAAGGGGGCUUCGGCUCUCGCCCUUAGAUUAGCCCAAGUGGGAUUAGCUAGUUGGUGAGGUAAUGGCUCACCAAGGCGACGAUCCCUAGCUGGUUUGAGAGGAUGAUCAGCCACACUGGAACUGAGACACGGUCCAGACUCCUACGGGAGGCAGCAGUGGGGAAUAUUGCACAAUGGGCGCAAGCCUGAUGCAGCCAUGCCGCGUGUGUGAAGAAGGCCUUAGGGUUGUAAAGCACUUUCAGUAAGGAGGAAAGGUUAGUAGUUAAUACCUGCUAGCUGUGACGUUGCUUACAGAAGAAGCACCGGCUAACUCCGUGCCAGCAGCCGCGGUAAUACGGAGGGUGCGAGCGUUAAUCGGAAUUACUGGGCGUAAAGCGUACGCAGGCGGUUUGUUAAGCGAGAUGUGAAAGCCCCGGGCUCAACCUGGGAACUGCAUUUCGAACUGGCAAACUAGAGUAUGAUAGAGGGUGGUAGAAUUUCAGGUGUAGCGGUGAAAUGCGUAGAGAUCUGAAGGAAUACCGAUGGCGAAGGCAGCCACCUGGGUCAAUACUGACGCUCAUGUACGAAAGCGUGGGGAGCAAACGGGAUUAGAUACCCCGGUAGUCCACGCCGUAAACGAUGUCUACUAGAGCUGGGGUCUUCGGACAACUUUUCCAAAGCUAACGCAUUAAGUAGACCGCCUGGGGAGUACGGCCGCAAGGUUAAAACUCAAAUGAAUUGACGGGGGCCCGCACAAGCGGUGGAGCAUGUGGUUUAAUUC